GCUGUGAGCUCGAUGAGUAGGGCGGGACACGUGGUAUCCUGUCUGAAUAUGGGGGGACCAUCCUCCAAGGCUAAAUACUCCUGACUGACCGAUAGUGAACCAGUACCGUGAGGGAAAGGCGAAAAGAACCCCGGCGAGGGGAGUGAAAAAGAACCUGAAACCGUGUACGUACAAGCAGUGGGAGCACAGGUUUACCUGUGUGACUGCGUACCUUUUGUAUAAUGGGUCAGCGACUUAUAUUCUGUAGCAAGGUUAACCGUAUAGGGGAGCCGUAGGGAAACCGAGUCUUAACCGGGCGUUAAGUUGCAGGGUAUAGACCCGAAACCCGGUGAUCUAGCCAUGGGCAGGUUGAAGGUUGGGUAACACUAACUGGAGGACCGAACCGACUAAUGUUGAAAAAUUAGCGGAUGACCUGUGGCUGGGGGUGAAAGGCCAAUCAAACCGGGAGAUAGCUGGUUCUCCCCGAAAGCUAUUUAGGUAGCGCCUCGUGAAUUCAUCUCCGGGGGUAGAGCACUGUUUCGGCUAGGGGGCCAUCCCGGCUUACCAACCCGAUGCAAACUGCGAAUACCGGAGAAUGUUAUCACGGGAGACACACGGCGGGUGCUAACGUCCGUCGUGAAGAGGGAAACAACCCAGACCGCCAGCUAAGGUCCCAAAGUCAUGGUUAAGUGGGAAACGAUGUGGGAAGGCCCAGACAGCCAGGAUGUUGGCUUAGAAGCAGCCAUCAUUUAAAGAAAGCGUAAUAGCUCACUGGUCGAGUCGGCCUGCGCGGAAGAUGUAACGGGGCUAAACCAUGCACCGAAGCUGCGGCAGCGACGCUGAUGCGUUGUUGGGUAGGGGAGCGUUCUGUAAGCCUGUGAAGGUGGCCUGUGAGGGUUGCUGGAGGUAUCAGAAGUGCGAAUGCUGACAUAAGUAACGAUAAAGCGGGUGAAAAGCCCGCUCGCCGGAAGACCAAGGGUUCCUGUCCAACGUUAAUCGGGGCAGGGUGAGUCGACCCCUAAGGCGAGGCCGAAAGGCGUAGUCGAUGGGAAACGGGUUAAUAUUCCCGUACUUGGUGUUACUGCGAAGGGGGGACGGAGAAGGCUAUGUUGGCCGGGCGACGGUUGUCCCGGUUUAAGCGUGUAGGUGUGUGUUCCAGGUAAAUCCGGUUCACUUUAACACUGAGGCGUGAUGACGAGGCACUACGGUGCUGAAGCAACAAAUGCCCUGCUUCCAGGAAAAGCCUCUAAGCAUCAGGUAACAUCAAAUCGUACCCCAAACCGACACAGGUGGUCAGGUAGAGAAUACCAAGGCGCUUGAGAGAACUCGGGUGAAGGAACUAGGCAAAAUGGUGCCGUAACUUCGGGAGAAGGCACGCUGACACGUAGGUGAAGUGAUUUACUCAUGGAGCUGAAGUCAGUCGAAGAUACCAGCUGGCUGCAACUGUUUAUUAAAAACACAGCACUGUGCAAACACGAAAGUGGACGUAUACGGUGUGACGCCUGCCCGGUGCCGGAAGGUUAAUUGAUGGGGUCAGCGCAAGCGAAGCUCCUGAUCGAAGCCCCGGUAAACGGCGGCCGUAACUAUAACGGUCCUAAGGUAGCGAAAUUCCUUGUCGGGUAAGUUCCGACCUGCACGAAUGGCGUAAUGAUGGCCAGGCUGUCUCCACCCGAGACUCAGUGAAAUUGAACUCGCUGUGAAGAUGCAGUGUACCCGCGGCAAGACGGAAAGACCCCGUGAACCUUUACUAUAGCUUGACACUGAACAUUGAGCCUUGAUGUGUAGGAUAGGUGGGAGGCUUUGAAGCGUGGACGCCAGUCUGCAUGGAGCCGGCCUUGAAAUACCACCCUUUAAUGUUUGAUGUUCUAACGUGGACCCGUGAUCCGGGUUGCGGACAGUGUCUGGUGGGUAGUUUGACUGGGGCGGUCUCCUCCUAAAGAGUAACGGAGGAGCACGAAGGUUGGCUAAUCCUGGUCGGACAUCAGGAGGUUAGUGCAAUGGCAUAAGCCAGCUUGACUGCGAGCGUGACGGCGCGAGCAGGUGCGAAAGCAGGUCAUAGUGAUCCGGUGGUUCUGAAUGGAAGGGCCAUCGCUCAACGGAUAAAAGGUACUCCGGGGAUAACAGGCUGAUACCGCCCAAGAGUUCAUAUCGACGGCGGUGUUUGGCACCUCGAUGUCGGCUCAUCACAUCCUGGGGCUGAAGUAGGUCCCAAGGGUAUGGCUGUUCGCCAUUUAAAGUGGUACGCGAGCUGGGUUUAGAACGUCGUGAGACAGUUCGGUCCCUAUCUGCCGUGGGCGCUGGAGAACUGAGGGGGGCUGCUCCUAGUACGAGAGGACCGGAGUGGACGCAUCACUGGUGUUCGGGUUGUCAUGCCAAUGGCACUGCCCGGUAGCUAAAUGCGGAAGAGAUAAGUGCUGAAAGCAUCUAAGCACGAAACUUGCCCCGAGAUGAGUUCUCCCUGAGACUUAGAGUCUCCUGAAGGAACGUUGAAGACGACGACGUUGAUAGGCCGGGUGUGUAAGCGCAGCGAUGCGUUGAGCUAACCGGUACUAAUGAACCGUGAGGCUUAACCUUACAACGCCGAAG
rnacentral:rRNA from 1 species